rfam:Asian citrus Psyllid, Diaphorina citri - Florida Strain, whole genome shotgun sequence.
GCUCCCAUGGCGUAGUGGUCACUGCGCUCGCCUUGCACGCGGGAGACCCGGGUUCAAUUCCGGCGGGGUCA